rnacentral:rRNA from 1 species
AGAGUUUGAUCCUGGCUCAGGAUGAACGCUGGCGGCAUGCCUAAUACAUGCAAGUCGAACGAGAGGAAGGAAAGCUUGCUUUUCUGAAUCUAGUGGCGAACGGGUGAGUAACACGUAGGUAACCUGCCCAUGUGCCCGGGAUAACUUCUGGAAACGGAUGCUAAAACCGGAUAGGUAGCAGACAAGCAUUUGACUGCUAUUAAAGUGGCCUUGGCCAUGAACAUGGAUGGACCUGCGGUGCAUUAGCUGGUUGGUGAGGUAACGGCCCACCAAGGCGACGAUGCAUAGCCGGCCUGAGAGGGCGGACGGCCACAUUGGGACUGAGACACGGCCCAAACUCCUACGGGAGGCAGCAGUAGGGAAUUUUCGUCAAUGGGGGGAACCCUGAACGAGCAAUGCCGCGUGAGUGAGGAAGGUCUUCGGAUCGUAAAGCUCUGUUGUAAGAGAAAAACGACAUUCAUAGGGAAUGAUGAGUGAGUGAUGGUAUCUUACCAGAAAGUCACGGCUAACUACGUGCCAGCAGCCGCGGUAAUACGUAGGUGGCGAGCGUUAUCCGGAAUGAUUGGGCGUAAAGGGUGCGUAGGUGGCAGAUCAAGUCUGGAGUAAAAGGUAUGGGCUCAACCCGUACUGGCUCUGGAAACUGAUCAGCUAGAGAACAGAAGAGGACGGCGGAACUCCAUGUGUAGCGGUAAAAUGCGUAGAUAUAUGGAAGAACACCGGUGGCGAAGGCGGCCGUCUGGUCUGGAUUCUGACACUGAAGCACGAAAGCGUGGGGAGCAAAUAGGAUUAGAUACCCUAGUAGUCCACGCCGUAAACGAUGAGAACUAGGUGUUGGGGGAAUAACUCAGUGCCGCAGUUAACGCAGUAAGUUCUCCGCCUGGGGAGUAUGCACGCAAGUGUGAAACUCAAAGGAAUUGACGGGGGCCCGCACAAGCGGUGGAGUAUGUGGUUUAAUUCGAAGCAACGCGAAGAACCUUACCAGGCCUUGACAUCCCUUGCAGAGGUAUAGAGAUAUAUCCGAGGUUAUCAAGGAGACAGGUGGUGCAUGGUUGUCGUCAGCUCGUGUCGUGAGAUGUUGGGUUAAGUCCCGCAACGAGCGCAACCCUUGUGAUAUGUUACUAACAUUGAGUUGAGGACUCAUAUCAGACUGCCGGUGAUAAACCGGAGGAAGGUGGGGAU